AUUGAACGCUGGCGGCAGGCUUAACACAUGCAAGUCGAGCGGAGAUGAGGUGCUUGCACCUUAUCUUAGCGGCGGACGGGUGAGUAAUGCUUAGGAAUCUGCCUAUUAGUGGGGGACAACAUUCCGAAAGGAAUGCUAAUACCGCAUACGCCCUACGGGGGAAAGCAGGGGAUCUUCGGACCUUGCGCUAAUAGAUGAGCCUAAGUCGGAUUAGCUAGUUGGUGGGGUAAAGGCCUACCAAGGCGACGAUCUGUAGCGGGUCUGAGAGGAUGGUCCGCCACACUGGGACUGAGACACGGCCCAGACUCCUACGGGAGGCAGCAGUGGGGAAUAUUGGACAAUGGGCGGAAGCCUGAUCCAGCCAUGCCGCGUGUGUGAAGAAGGCCUUUUGGUUGUAAAGCACUUUAAGCGAGGAGGAGGCUACCUGGAUUAAUACUCUAGGAUAGUGGACGUUACUCGCAGAAUAAGCACCGGCUAACACUGUGCCAGCCGCCGCAGUAACAC
rnacentral:rRNA from 1 species